AUUGAACGCUGGCGGCAGGCCUAACACAUGCAAGUCGAGCGGGGUUUUCGGACCUAGCGGCGGACGGGUGAGUAAUGCGUAGGAAGCUGCCCGAUAGAGGGGGAUACCAGUUGGAAACGACUGUUAAUACCGCAUAAUGUCUACGGACCAAAGUGUGGGACCUUCGGGCCACAUGCUAUCGGAUGCGCCUACGUGGGAUUAGCUAGUUGGUGAGGUAAUGGCUAACAAAGGCGACGAUCUCUAGCUGGUUUGAGAGGAUUAUCAGCCACACUGGAACUGGGACAAGGUCCAGACUGCUACGGGAGGCAGCAGUGGGGAAUAUUGGACAAUGGGCGCAAGCCUGAUCCAGCCAUGCCGCGUGUGUGAAGAAGGCCUUCGGGUUGUAAAGCCCUUUCAGCGAGGAGGAAGGGUGGUGUGUUAAUAGCACAUCAUUUUGACGUUACUCGCAGAAGAAGCACCGGCUAACUCUGUGCCAGCAGCCGCCGUAACAC
rnacentral:rRNA from 1 species